CAGCCGUAAACGAUGUGCGUUAGGUGUAUCGACGACCACGAGUCGUCGAGGUGCCGAAGGGAAACCGUGAAACGUACCGCCUGGGAAGUACGGUCGCAAGGCUGAAACUUAAAGGAAUUGGCGGGGGAGCACCACAACAGGUGGAGCCUGCGGUUUAAUUGGACUCAACGCCGGGAAGCUCACCGGAUAGGACAGCAGAAUGAUUGCCGGGCUGAAGACCCUGCAUGACUAGCUGAGAGGAGGUGCAUGGCGUCAGUGACU
rnacentral:rRNA from 1 species